AAUUUUCCACAAUGGACGAAAGUCUGAUGGAGCAACGCCGCGUGAACGAUGAAGGUCUUCGGAUUGUAAAGUUCUGUUGUCAGGGACGAACAAGUACCGUUCGAACAGGGCGGUACCUUGACGGUACCUGACGAGAAAGCCACGGCUAACUACGUGCCAGCAGCCGCGGUAAUACGUAGGUGGCAAGCGUUGUCCGGAAUUAUUGGGCGUAAAGCGCGCGCAGGCGGCUAUGUAAGUCUGGUGUUAAAGCCCGGGGCUCAACCCCGGUUCGCAUCGGAAACUGUGUAGCUUGAGUGCAGAAGAGGAAAGCGGUAUUCCACGUGUAGCGGUGAAAUGCGUAGAGAUGUGGAGGAACACCAGUGGCGAAGGCGGCUUUCUGGUCUGUAACUGACGCUGAGGCGCGAAAGCGUGGGGAGCAAACAGG
rnacentral:rRNA from 1 species